GAUGAACGCUGGCGGCGUGCCUAAUACAUGCAAGUCGAGCGAACAGAUGAGGAGCUUGCUCCUCUGACGUUAGCGGCGGACGGGUGAGUAACACGUGGAUAACCUACCUAUAAGACUGGGAUAACUUCGGGAAACCGGAGCUAAUACCGGAUAAUAUAUUGAACCGCAUGGUUCAAUAGUGAAAGACGGUUUUGCUGUCACUUAUAGAUGGAUCCGCGCCGCAUUAGCUAGUUGGUAAGGUAACGGCUUACCAAGGCAACGAUGCGUAGCCGACCUGAGAGGGUGAUCGGCCACACUGGAACUGAGACACGGUCCAGACUCCUACGGGAGGCAGCAGUAGGGAAUCUUCCGCAAUGGGCGAAAGCCUGACGGAGCAACGCCGCGUGAGUGAUGGAGGUCUUCGGAUCGUAAAACUCUGUUAUUAGGGAAGAACAAAUGUGUAAGUAACUAUGCACGUCUUGACGGUACCCAAUCAGAAAGCCACGGCUAACUACGUG
rnacentral:rRNA from 1 species